GAUGAACGCUAGCGGCAGGCUUAAUACAUGCAAGUCGAGGGGUAGCAAGAUUGUAGCAAUACAAUUGUUGACGACCGGCAAACGGGUGCGGAACACGUACACAACCUUCCUACAAGUGGGGAAUAGCCCAGAGAAAUUUGGAUUAAUACCCCGUAACAUAGCGAUGUGGCAUCACAUUGCUAUUAUAGCUUCGGCGCUUGUUGAUGGGUGUGCGGCUGAUUAGAUAGUUGGCGGGGUAACGGCCCACCAAGUCUACGAUCAGUAGCUGAUGUGAGAGCAUGAUCAGCCACACGGGCACUGAGACACGGGCCCGACUCCUACGGGAGGCAGCAGUAAGGAAUAUUGGACAAUGGACGCAAGUCUGAUCCAGCCAUGCCGCGUGAAGGAUUAAGGUCCUCUGGAUUGUAAACUUCUUUUAUAAGGGACGAAAAAAGGUCUUUCUAGAUCGUCUGACGGUACCUUAUGAAUAAGCACCGGCUAACUCCGUGCCAGCCGCCGCAGUAACAC
rnacentral:rRNA from 1 species